AUGAAAACCCUUUCCCUAGUGCUGAGCUGUCUACUUUUUGGGAUUUAUGAAUUAAGCCAAAUAUUCCAGAAGAAAAAGAACAGUAAUAAAGUGUGGAGUUUCCAGAAGAAACAAACAGAUCUCCUCAUUGCCUUUUAUAAGCAUAGAAUUACAAAGUUAGAAGCAGCCAUUCAGGAGGCACAGCAAACAGUGACCAGCCAGAACAGAGAGUUAUCAAUCUUGAGAAAAGAGAAUGAAGAACUGAAGAAACUUCUAGCCUUCCUAAAGGAAUCUCCAAGUCGGUACCAAGGAAGCAGGCUGACUACACCUCGACCAGUGUGCAUUACUUCUCCAUCACAGUCAGUUACUCCGAGACCCAGUUCCCAGCAUAGUAGCCAGGUGGUCAGUCGGUCCUCCUCUGUAGAAUCUCUGCCUUAUAGAGUGCCUGGCUUUGGUACUGUGGGACCAGAAGGCAGAGUCCUGCAGGGAAGGAGCACCCCCAGAGACUCUAAUAUUGGUGAGAGGGGGGAAAAACGAUCAACAUAAUCAGAAGUCAACAUAAUCUGUGCAGACAGUAGAUUUCUGGUUUUCUGUGCAUCAUGCCAUUUUACUUUGUUUUUUCCAGACAGUGAUUCCAGACAUGUAUUAAAAGUUUUCAAAUAAUUUUUUUUGUUAUUAAACUGACAAAGGGAAAAUAAAAAGUUGAACAACAGAAAGCCAAUAGAAAUCUCUGGUCAGGAAUUUGAGGAUCAAAACAAAAAACAAAAACAAACAAACAGGAAUUUGAGGAUGACUUCCGAGUAAAAUUGAUUUGAAUUUUUAAAAUUGCCACCAGAUGGCAGUAUAAGUUAGGUCUAAAAGGAACGUGUGUGUGUGUGUGUGUGUGUGUGUGUGUGUGUGUGUGUGUGUGUGUGUGUGUGUGUGUGUGUGUGUGUGUGUG
rnacentral:lncRNA from 1 species